rnacentral:rRNA from 1 species
CAGUCGAGGGGUAUAAGUCUUCGGAUUUAGAGACCGGCGCACGGGUGCGUAACGCGUAUGCAAUCUACCUUUUACAGAGGGAUAGCCCAGAGAAAUUUGGAUUAAUACCUCAUAGUAUUAUGAAAUGGCAUCAUUUUAUAAUUAAAGUCACAACGGUAAAAGAUGAGCAUGCGUCCCAUUAGCUAGUUGGUAAGGUAACGGCUUACCAAGGCUACGAUGGGUAGGGGUCCUGAGAGGGAGAUCCCCCACACUGGUACUGAGACACGGACCAGACUCCUACGGGAGGCAGCAGUGAGGAAUAUUGGACAAUGGGCGCAAGCCUGAUCCAGCCAUGCCGCGUGCAGGAUGACGGUCCUAUGGAUUGUAAACUGCUUUUGUACGAGAAGAAACACUCCUAUGUAUAGGAGCUUGACGGUAUCGUAAGAAUAAGGAUCGGCUAACUCCGUGCCAGCAGCCGCGGUAAUACGGAGGAUCCAAGCGUUAUCCGGAAUCAUUGGGUUUAAAGGGUCCGUAGGCGGUUUAAUAAGUCAGUGGUGAAAGCCCAUCGCUCAACGGUGGAACGGCCAUUGAUACUGUUAAACUUGAAUUAUUAGGAAGUAACUAGAAUAUGUAGUGUAGCGGUGAAAUGCUUAGAGAUUACAUGGAAUACCAAUUGCGAAGGCAGGUUACUACUAAUGGAUUGACGCUGAUGGACGAAAGCGUGGGUAGCGAACAGGAUUAGAUACCCUGGUAGUCCACGCCGUAAACGAUGGAUACUAGCUGUUGGAAGCAAUUUCAGUGGCUAAGCGAAAGUGAUAAGUAUCCCACCUGGGGAGUACGUUCGCAAGAAUGAAACUCAAAGGAAUUGACGGGGGCCCGCACAAGCGGUGGAGCAUGUGGUUUAAUUCGAUGAUACGCGAGGAACCUUACCAAGGC